rnacentral:ncRNA from 2 species
UUGAAUGAUGUGGGAACAGGUGCGGGGGUUUUACGAUCUCUGCUUAAAAGGGAAGUCCGGUGAAAUACCGGCGCGGUCCCGCCACUGUAACGGAAGAGUUUAGGGCUUUGACAUGUCACUGAUCCGAUGGAUCGGGAAGACGGCCUCAAGACGAUGACCCGGAAGCCAGGAGACCUGCCUGUUCUGACAACACUGC